UACGUAGGUGGCGAGCGUUGUCCGGAUUUACUGGGCGUAAAGGGCGUGCAGGCGGUUUGUUAAGUGCAGGGUGAAAGCUCCCGGCUCAACUGGGAGAGGUCCUUGCAUACUGGCGAACUCGAGGGAGGCAGAGGAAAGUGGAAUUCCCGGUGUAGUGGUGAUAUGCGUAGAUAUCGGGAGGAACACCUGUGGCGAAGGCGGCGUUUCCUGGGCCUUACCUGACGCUGAGACGCGAAAGCGUGGGGAGCGAACCGG
rnacentral:rRNA from 1 species